UGGCUCAGAAUGAACGCUGGCGGCGUGCUUAACACAUGCAAGUCGCACGAGAACGCUUCAGCUUGCUGAAGUUAGUAAAGUGGCUCACGGGUGAGUAACGCGUGGGUAAUCUUCCCCCGAGUUGGGGAUAACAUUGCGAAAGCGAUGCUAAUACCGGAUAAUAUCUCAAGUACUCCGGUACUUGAGAUCAAAGGUGGCCUCCACAUGUAAGCUACCGUUUGGGGGUGAGCCCGCGUACCAUUAGCUUGUUGGUAGGGUAAUGGCCUACCAAGGCUGCGAUGGUUAGCUGGUCUGAGAGGAUGAUCAGCCACACUGGAACUGACACACGGUCCAGACUCCUACGGGAGGCAGCAGUGAGGAAUUUUGCGCAAUGGGGGAAACCCUGACGCAGCAACGCCGCGUGAGUGAUGAAGGCUUUCGGGUCGUAAAGCUCUGUCAAGUGGGAAGAAACCACAUGAUGUUAAUAUCAUCUUGUGCUGACGGUACCACUGAAGGAAGCACCGGCUAACUCCGUGCCAGCAGCCGCGGUAAUACGGGGGGUGCAAGCGUUAUUCGGAAUUACUGGGCGUAAAGAGCGCGUAGGCGGUCUUUUAAGUCAGGUGUGAAAGCCCGGGGCUCAACCCCGGAAGUGCACUUGAAACUAAGAGACUUGAGUAUGGGAGAGGGAAGUGGAAUUCCUGGUGUAGCGGUGAAAUGCGUAGAUAUCAGGAGGAACACCGGUGGCGAAGGCGACUUCCUGGACCAAUACUGACGCUGAGGCGCGAAGGCGUGGGGAGCAAACAGGAUUAGAUACCCCUUAGUCCACGCAGUAAACGGUGAACACUAGGUGUAGCGGGUAUUGACCCCUGCUGUGCCGCAGCAAACGCAUUAAGUGUUCCGCCUGGGGAGUACGGCCGCAAGGUUAAAACUCAAAGGAAUUGACGGGUCCCGCACAAGCGGUGGAGCAUGUGGUUUAAUUCGACGCAACGCGAAGAACCUUACCCGGAUUUGACAUCCCGGGAAUCUUUUUGAAAGAUUAGAGUGCCCUUCGGGGAGCCCGGUGACAGGUGCUGCAUGGCUGUCGUCAGCUCGUGUCGUGAGAUGUUGGGUUAAGUCCCGCAACGAGCGCAACCCCUUUCUUUAGUUACCAUCAUUUAGUUGGGGACUCUAAAGAUACUGCCCCGGUUAACGGGGAGGAAGGUGGGGAUGACGUCAAGUCCUCAUGGCCUUUAUGUCCAGGGCUACACACGUGCUACAAUGGGCUGUACAAAGGGUUGCCAACCUGCGAAGGUGAGCUAAUCCCAGAAAGCAGUUCGUAGUUCGGAUUGGAGUCUGCAACUCGACUCAUGAAGCUGGAUCACCUCCU
rnacentral:rRNA from 1 species